rnacentral:rRNA from 1 species
UACAGAGGGUGCGAGCGUUAAUCGGAAUUACUGGGCGUAAAGCGCACGUAGGCGGCUUGGUAUGUCGGGUGUGAAAUCCCCGGGCUCAACCUGGGAAUUGCGUUUGAGACUGGUAAGCUAGAGUACAGUAGAGGGAAGUGGAAUUUCCGGUGUAGCGGUGAAAUGCGUAGAUAUCGGAAGGAACAUCAGUGGCGAAGGCGACUUCCUGGACUGUUACU